UCGCAUGCAGACGUCUGCCCCUCCUUUGUUUGGGAGUAGGAAUGUAUUCAUAACAUGCUACAUUGUCAAGGAGUUCUCAGGGCUACCACCUUAGAGUAGAGUUUGAGUAGUUGUAUAUUUCUCCUACAUUA